UCUGUUGUACCUGCGCCUGCACGUGUUAUCUCUUCGUCGUAGCUGCUGCUGUAUUUGUGUCUCUGUGUGUACAUGUGGCUGCACGUGUUGUCUCUUCGUCGUAGCUGCUGCUGUAUUUGUGUCUCUGUGCUGCUGACCCGUACAUGCUGCUGCGCUGCUUUGUUGCUGACCCGUACAUGCUGCUGCGCUGCUUUGUUGUUGACACGUGCACCUUUUUGUGCUGAGUACACCACCUUUUGUGCUGACGAGGGCACCAAUUUCUGAUAUCAUGUUUUCCUUUUGCCAUGUCGUCGUCAGUUGUCCGACGGUCGUCGUCAGUUGUCAGACGUUCGUUGUCAGAGUCAGUUGUCCGACGGUCGUCGUCAGUUGUCAGACGUUCGUUGUCAGACGUUCGUUGUCAGAGUCAGUUGUCCGACGUUCGUCGUCAGUUGUUAGACAUUCGUUGUCAGUGUUAGUUCUCCAUUAUGAGUUCUUCCGUCGCCGCUUGAAGUAAACUAUGAAAACUCUCUCUCUCUAGCUCUAGAGAAAAACCACUGACUAGUUCGUUUUGAGGUGUGGCGUGGCGAGGAUAGAAGAGGCAGUUCGUUCUCAACCUUCCGAGACGACAUUUGGCGCCCAACUAAUCGAACCCACGACCCUGAAGCUCGUCGCUCUCCGGCCGGUGUUUUUCGUUUUCCUCUUCGCGUUCUCGCCAUGGCUCCGCUUUGCUGCGUCUGUUCAACCCUUUCCUAGAUCCUCGGAGCUCCUACUCAGUUUCUGUAGCGCCAUCGGUUUUCGGACAGCCGGCCAGUGUGCGUCCUGCGGCCCCAGUCUUCUUCUCGGUCGGUGCGUGCUGUCGGUCUCGCCGCUCUUGGCAGCGUCGCUGGGUCCGUCGGCUUAACCCUGUUUCCUCAUGCAUUGUGUACUUUUUGUUUGUCUUGACUGUUGGGUGGGUGGCGUACUAGGUUGGUGCUGUUCAAAUAAUCAAGAUCCAAAGGGACAACUACAGGUCGAACAGCUCGCCAGCCGGGGUCCUCUGCAAAAUCUGUUGCUUGCAGGUUCCGUUUGAUUGAUGCACAGUUUUGCGGGGCUCCCGACUGGUGUUAACCCUCCUGGCCUACUCGUCAUGCAUUCAACUGUUGUGACCCCACCUCUUUUGUGUUUUAUUGUCGCCUGUUUAUGUUGCUUCAUAUUUCAUUUCCCCUGUCUUUCUGUCUUCUUCUCCGGUCUGUCUCCUUCCGUUUUUUUUAUACACUUCACUUUUGCUUCCAUCCACAGGAGUGGAUGUCUUUUUUUGGUAGGGGAUAGUGUUGUACCUGCGCCUGCACGUGUUAUCUCUUCGUCGUAGCUGCUGCUGUAUUUGUGUCUCUGUGUGUACAUGUGGCUGCACGUGUUGUCUCUUCGUCGUAGCUGCUGCUGUAUUUGUGUCUCUGUGCUGCUGACCCGUACAUGCUGCUGCGCUGCUUUGUUGCUGACCCGUACAUGCUGCUGCGCUGCUUUGUUGUUGACACGUGCACCUUUUUGUGCUGAGUACACCACCUUUUGUGCUGACGAGGGCACCAAUUUCUGAUAUCAUGUUUUCCUUUUGCCAUGUCGUCGUCAGUUGUCCGACGGUCGUCGUCAGUUGUCAGACGUUCGUUGUCAGAGUCAGUUGUCCGACGGUCGUCGUCAGUUGUCAGACGUUCGUUGUCAGAGUCAGUUGUCCGACGUUCGUCGUCAGUUGUUAGACAUUCGUUGUCAGUGUUAGUUCUCCAUUAUGAGUUCUUCCGUCGCCGCUUGAAGUAAACUAUGAAAACUCUCUCUCUAGCUCUAGAGAAAAACCA